CGGGAAACUGGGGAUAAUCCCCGAUAUGUCUCGGCUGCUGGAAUGCAUCGAGAUUUAAAGCUCCGGCGCCUAAGGAUGGGUCUGCGGCCUAUCAGGUAGUAGUGGGUGUAGCGUACCUACUAGCCUACGACGGGUACGGGUUGUGAGAGCAAGAGCCCGGAGAUGGAUUCUGAGACACGAAUCCAGGCCCUACGGGGUGCAGCAGGCGCGAAAACUUUACAAUGCUGGCAACAGCGAUAAGGGAACCUCGAGUGCCAGGUUACAAAUCUGGCUGUCGAGAUGCCUAAGAAGCAUUUCAUAGCAAGGGCCGGGCAAGACCGGUGCCAGCCGCCGCGGUAACA
rnacentral:rRNA from 1 species